AGAGUUUGAUCAUGGCUCAGGACGAACGCUGGCGGCGCACCUAACACAUGCAAGUCGAACGGAGCUGAGAGGAGCUUGCUUUUCUUAGCUUAGUGGCGAACGGGUGAGUAACGCGUGAGUAACCUGCCCUGGAGUGGGGGACAACAGUUGGAAACGACUGCUAAUACCGCAUAAGCCCACGGCCCGGCAUCGGGCUGAGAGAAAAGGAUUUAUUCGCUUCAGGAUGGACUCGCGUCCAAUUAGCUAGUUGGUGAGGUAACGGCCCACCAAGGCGACGAUUGGUAGCCGGACUGAGAGGUUGAACGGCCACAUUGGGACUGAGACACGGCCCAGACUCCUACGGGAGGGAGCA
rnacentral:rRNA from 1 species